UGUUCAGGAUAUUUAUUAAAUACAUAUUCUUUAUCUUUUCUACAUUUCACCUGUGCUCUAGCUUGGUUCCUUGUGAUAAAACUGGCAUUGUAUACUGAAUAUUGUUGGCUCUGUGACAGAUUGCUUGUUAUAUUUCCAGAUUCUUCCGUGCUUGAUGUCCUUCUGCAUCCCAGAGUCUGAGCAAACCUCCUGUCCAACAACAUCUCCAAAGCACACUGAACCAUACGGCUAGCAGCCUCGCAUGUGAAGACUUCAGAAGAUGCCAGACCUCACAAAGAUUUCAGAUGAUGGCAACUAUAGAUGAACAUGCAAAGCUGCUAAAUAAUCCUUAUAUUGUAAUCAUUGCCCUAAAAGGAAGGAUCUUAUCAGCAAAUCUACUUCACAGCACAUCAGUGAAAACAGUUGACCGUUACAGACGGG